rnacentral:rRNA from 1 species
UACGGGGGGGGCAAGCGUUGUUCGGAAUUACUGGGCGUAAAGGGCUUGUAGGUGGCCAACUAAGUCAGACGUGAAAUCCCUCAGCUUAACUGGGGAACUGCUUCUGAUACUGGAUGGCUUGAGUUUGGGAGAGGGAUGCGGAAUUCCUGGUGUAGCGGUGAAAUGCGUAGAUAUCAGGAGGAACACCUGUGGUGUAGACGGCUUUCUGGACCAUAGCUGACGCUGAGACACGAAAGCGUGGGUAGCAAACAGG